ensembl:lncRNA
CCCCCACUCUGGUGUGAGCGUUCUGACCGACCGCUUGUAUACAAGUGAAAACCACAGCGUCUGUGUGUGUUUCUACUCUUAGACUCUCAGCUGAAGAAGUGUCUUUAGAAUAAAUCUCUUGACACUUCUUCUUUUUGUUUUUCACCCAGGAGCAGGCUCUUCUCCUGCCAUUUCAUCAACAGUGUAUGAAAAUGUUCAGGUAACUGAUCUACAAAUGGAUAUCUACGACAAUGACACAAAAUAGAAAAAGAAAAGAGAUUGAGUUCCUGCCCUUGGCCCUUGGCCCAUGCACCUGUAGCUGAUUACUGGUGAUUCCUCACUAUUGUUUGCUGGCUCUUCAUACGACAGGGGCGCUGAGCUACUUGUCACUGGAAUAUUGAGUAACUCAAGUUAGUGUUUGCCCAGCUCUCCAGAAAACUAUCAU